CCAUAGGUCAGUGGACUUAUAUAUGGAAGGAUGGGUCCUGGAGUCAGGGUCUUCCAACAACUGGCCUGCUGAUGCUGACACAUGCCACCCAACGGCCUCCUGAAUGGCUUUCGUGCACAUACCUUGUUCAAGUAUGUGGAGGAGACCAAACUGAAAAGAAAGCAUCGUAGGUUUUAGACUGAAACAAAUCAGGGCUAACCAGUGGCUGAAAACCAACAACUGGAAGACACAAGAGAGAUGGAGGAAGCCCUUUGGCAGUAGAUGGCUGGGUCCCCGAGUCACCACCUGAAGAAGGACAACCCAGGAGUGUGUCUGACCAGGAAACCCCACUUUGGACUUGCCAUUGUGGUACGCGGGCCUCUCACUGUUGUGGCCUCUCCCGUUGCGGAGCACAGGUUCCGGACACGCAGGCUCAGUGGCCGUGGCUCACAGGCCCAGCCGCUUCGCGGCAUGUGGGAUCUUCCCGGACCGGGGCACGAACCCGUGUCCCCUGCAUCUGCAGGCGGACUCUCAACCACUGCGCCACCAGGGAAGCCCAAUUGUCACUUGUUUUGAAGAGGAUGAUAAUCAUGUUGACUCCUAAAAAAGACAAAAGAGAGAGAGGCUGGUCAAUAACAAGAGCAUAUUUACUUAUCGAAUUUUCUUAUGUAAGUUAGCAUCCAUUUCAUGGAUUGGAAGGAUAAAAGCAAAAUCAGACUAAAAGAAAUCCUAGAGAGAUUUGGCCAGGCAAUGACACAGACAGCUGGUAGAUAUGGCUCCCUGCAGGAGUUGGGACUUGAAUGGUAGGGUGGUAGAAGGAUGCCACAAGUGAAUCCAGUAAUUUUUCCAUGAGACUCAUUGUAAUUUAAGCUCUGGUCCAGGUCUCAGUAAGCACCUGCUCCUCAGAGAGGGAGUGAGAUUUCCACAGAACACAACUGGAAGCAGAAGUGCGCUUAUAGGGGAAGACAGGGCUCUGUAUAGGCAGAGAGAAAGAGAGACAGACAGCUCUGAGAAUAGUCUUGUAAGAUCAGUUGUGGAUUUAGAGAGGGACUGGACCACCCUUGGCUUUGUCCUAUAGGCCAAUCCUUCAUGUUCCAGUCACUCCCAUAGUACAUCCUAUGGGAGGGACCGUUCAUAGUUAUUAGAGGUCAGAAAACAAAGUUUCCAGGUUGUUUAUUCUGGAAUUAGUCUUAUCCUUUCAAUAUUCUACAAGUUUCCCACCAGCCUUCUGAAGAAUAUCACUCCUCUGUGGAAUAGAAUGCUCUUCUCUGAACUAAAAGUAAGAUGUUUGUUUUGGAAGCAACAUAGAUUCAAAUAGCAAUAACAAUUCUUUGCGGAAAAGAAAAGCAUCUUUAUAUUUAUUCGGGUAAACAGAAAAAUAGCACAAUUGAAAUGAUUUUCCACCUGCCAAACAAAACUGUUGCCUUUUGUAAGCCGUGUUCCGUAUACAAGGGGAGUGGAAGCACAACACUGCACAGGGGGAAUGGUGAUGGAUUCAGCUAUCGAGGCCGCCAUGCCUGUCAAUGGGGGUUCACCUGGAUCUAUUAUAUCUCACCUCAGUCGAAGACAGUCAUCCUGCAUGUACCGGACCGAAGGUUCUGCUCUUUUGCAAAAGAGAUCUGGCUAAGCUGACCCGCCAGUGUCCCCCAGGAUCAAGGAGGCAGAACUCGGAAGGACAUGAAGGUUGCCUUUGACACCCUCACGGUUGUACUAUUUUCACUCUUCUGAAUUCUUAUGGCUUCUCUUCUCAGACCUACCCAGGGGCUUCUGGCUCUCUCGUGGCUCCCUGAACCCUCUUCUGUGACAGUAAGCUUAGGUCCACCUUAAUUAAAAAAAAAGAAGUAGCAAUAAUGACAAUCACAGCGACUGACAUUGGCUCUUUUUCAUGUGCCUGAUUUUAUGCUAAGAAUCACAUUCACAUUAUCCUUCAUGACUUUCCUCAGCAGCUGUAUGAAGCGGCUCUGUGUGUGACAGACACCGUUGGUGCCCAUCUCCAUCUCCUUGCUCCACCCCAGGAAGCCUCCUGCGGGCAGUCUGGUCUCCUGCGUGAUGGCGGUGUCUCUCU